ACAGAAGUUUCGAACGCCAACAAAUUGACCUCAUUACUUCUGAAGAGACAGGGGCGGGGAGAGAAGAGGAAUGCUGAAAGGGCAUUAUGCUUUUGCUAUUUAGUAAAAGAAGUAUCAACAUGCCUUCUGAUGACUCCUGAACAUCCCUUACAAAUGAAGGAGCCACAGAGUGGGGCAACUCCAUGUCUUUAUCACUCUGCCAGCCAAGGAAGAGGAAGACAAUCAAGCCACACUUGACAAGGGUCAAGACCAUUCACUUUCAGGGCCAAGGGGAUUUCAGAGCCAAGGGGAUUAGGACAGAGCAGCAUUUUCCCAUAGUGACAAGAGGAAACAAGAGAAUCGAAAGCAUCUUUCAAUUCCAUUCUGAGUCAAAGAGGUUGUUCUUGCAGCCCAACUGGGAACCUACAUGCAAACCAGUUCUAUGAGAAAAUAUGUCCCCAAAUUCCAAACUACUUCCAGCAGCAAGACAGUUAAGAGACACGUUGGAUGAGGCAACAGCGGGGAAGAAAGGGAGCUGAUCUUGAAUUGGCUGUGUACUGACAGAUUGUAUGAAUGAAAGCAAUAAAAAU
rnacentral:lncRNA from 1 species